rnacentral:rRNA from 1 species
CUGGCUCAGGAUGAACGCUAGCGACAGGCCUAACACAUGCAAGUCGAGGGGCAGCACAAGGAGCAAUCUGAGGUGGCGACCGGCGCACGGGUGAGUAACACGUAUGCAACCUGCCUGUAAGCGGGGAAUAACCCGUUGAAAGUACGGACGUAAUACCGCAUAAUACUAAAUUACUGCAUGGUAAUUUAUUUAAACAUUUAUGGCUUACAGAUGGGCAUGCGCAUGAUUAGCUAGUUGGAGAGGUAACGGGCUCCCCCAAGGCAACGAUCAUUAGGGGUUCUGAGAGGAAGGUCCCCCACACUGGUACUGAGACACGGACCAGACUCCUACGGGAGGCAGCAGUGAGGAAUAUUGGUCAAUGGACGAGAGUCUGAACCAGCCAAGUCGCGUGCAGGAAAAGAAUGUCCUAUGGAUUGUAAACUGCUUUUGUAUGGGAGCAAUAAGGGCUACGCGUAGUCCGAUGAGAGUACCAUACGAAUAAGCACCGGCUAACUCCGUGCCAGCCGCCGC